rnacentral:rRNA from 1 species
CCGGGCGACCGGCGCACGGGUGAGUAACACGUAUGCAACCUGCCCCUGUCAGGGGGACAACCCGCCGAAAGGGAGGCUAAUCCCGCGUAUAUCGGUUUCGGGCAUCCGAGAUCGAGGAAAGAUUCAUCGGAAGAGGAUGGGCAUGCGGCGCAUUAGCUAGACGGCGGGGUAACGGCCCACCGAGGCGACGAUGCGUAGGGGUUCUGAGAGGAAGGUCCCCCACACUGGUACUGAGACACGGACCAGACUCCUACGGAAGGCAGCAG